AUCUCAUUGACGAGAUCCAAAAUAGUUCGAAACAUCGAUGUCUGAGAU
rfam:Octopus bimaculoides Scaffold40871_contig_82, whole genome shotgun sequence.